UCGUCACUCAAUAAGACUGGCUGGUGUGCUUAGCUUGUUUGGUUGUGAGGAUCAUAAUGGUAGAAUAUAUAUUGCUGAGUUGCUACUGAAUAUAAGGUUUGCAGUUUUUUCAGUUCGGCAUUACAUUGACACCGAUUCAAGUUGUUCUUGCAUUCAUCAUAAUUAUUGUUGCUUAAUGAAAUUUUGUUAAUUACAGGACCUUUACAAGAAUACCCUUCAUACCAUCAUAGUGCUUGCGUGUUGCCUGGAGCCAGCCGAGAUAUCAGGUAUGCCCAAUGUUGCCUAUUCGCACACAUAUAGAAGUCUAAAAGGUUACUCAUGUAUUUAUCUUAAGUUCCAAACUUUUAGACUAAACUAAGCUUCUUGGUUGCUUGAUAGAUGUGGCAUGUGGACAAGUUUGGAAUUCAACAAUUAAGUAGUAGCAUAUCUGUGCAAAGGUUAGUAAACCCCCUGCUGAAAUUCACGAUCGCUUUAGCUAUGAUAGGUUGUAUUCAAAGUGGAAUUGUCAAACUCUUAUUACCUCAUGAGACCAAAGUUAGAGAACUUGUUGCUUUCUUCAUAUGUCGGCAGUCUAGCUUUUGAGCACGCUCAUAAUCUCUGAAUUCAUUGCCAUUCUGAAUUAAAUAACACGGGAGAGUUUUCAGCUGAUACAUUUAGUCGUAAAGGUAGAGAACACUUGUUACUAGGUGAUUGAUGAACAUGUAUUGAGCAAAAAGACUUGAGCUUGCUAAUUUUUAUUCAUAGAACCAGCUGAGUUGAUUAUGGUGAAGGUGAUUUUAUUCUCUUAUCGAUUUGGAGUAUUUUUCUAUCCCACCAAUGCCAAAAAUAGAGCAGAUUCCAUGAGCCUUGAUUAUUGCAAUUUGAAUAUUUUUAGUGCGUAUUGUUAAGUUCGACGUUCCUCUAGUCUGAAGUCUUUCAAAGACAGUCAUUCUCUUCGCGUAACUUUACACUUCCUAACCUCUUCACUCGGCAUUGCGUUCCUUCAUAAGGAUAUCAUGAACAUUACCAGUGUACAUAUACAAAUCCCAGAAAUUAAACCAUACCUACCUAUAUAAUGCAUCACUGCGCACUGGGUAUUCCAUAGUAGUUGAUUAUUCCAUGAGCACAGUCAUCAAAGUUCGAGAAGAUUGUAAAGCGCUUUAUUGCCAUCAACCCUGCAAAAUUCAUUAUUAUGAAGAGCUAUAUUCAUCAGCAUUGAUUCCUCUCUUAGAUACAAAUGGAAAAAAAGAAAUAAAGAAAAAGAGAGAUGAGCACCAUGCAAAAGAUCAAAGGGUUCUUGUGCAGAUUGAUGAAACUACUACCUAUGUGCAGAUUAAUCAAAAUACUACCUAUGCAUAUCGAUAACAGGAACAUCACUCACAUCCUGGGAUCACCUUACAUUGCAUAGGCCUCUCAAAUCAUUUCUUUGGUGUGACUCCAUUCCCUCCCACAUACCCUAUACUACUUUUUCCAAUGACUGGAAUGUGAAGACUUCUUUGUACUGGAGUUGAACUCUUAUUUAGCUUUACAAUCUAGAUUUCAGAUUUGCUAAUUUUUUUGAAUUACUUUACCAAGCUCCAGAUAAGCUUUCCAAAAAUAUCAAAUAGAUAGGGAAUACUUGGGCUCCAGUGAGUACUAUAAUUAAGUGACAGAGAGUAAUUCUGGAUCAUUACGAGGUAAUUUCGCUAGAUACCUGCUCUCGGAAGGUUAACAAGGAAUAAAAUUGUUGGUUACUCCUGUUUCCUUUUGUUCUUGACAUUGAAGUCAAACAACCAAGUGACUGGUGUUCAAAAACUUCUACAGCUAUAUUGUUGAUGUUGUUCACUCUCAAAAAAUGAAAUCUGUUCCCUACUGGCAAUGAUUCAGAGUAGUUAUUUAAGUGUGUGCUCAAUCGCUAGCUUGCUACUUUAAGUAUGUUAAGCUUUCAGGUGUUUCGCAAGCAUGUGGGCA
rnacentral:lncRNA from 1 species